GGCGGAUGUAGCCAAGUGGUUCAAGGCAGU
rnacentral:tRNA from 1 species